rnacentral:rRNA from 1 species
UACGAAGGGAGCUAGCGUUGUUCGGAAUCACUGGGCGUAAAGCGCACGUAGGCGGGUUGUUAAGUCGGGGGUGAAAUCCUGGAGCUCAACUCCAGAACUGCCUUCGAUACUGGCGACCUUGAGUCCGGGAGAGGUGAGUGGAACUCCGAGUGUAGAGGUGAAAUUCGUAGAUAUUCGGAGGAACACCAGUGGCGAAGGCGGCUCACUGGUCCGGUACUGACGCUGAGGUGCGAAAGCGUGGGGAGCAAACAGG